GACGGAAGGUGCAAGCGUUGCUCGGAAUCACUGGGCGUAAAGGGUGCGUAGGCGGCUUGGUGGGUCUGGUGUGAAAGCCCCGGGCUCAGCCCGGGAAGGGCACUAGAAACUGCCGAGCUGGAGUGCCGGAGGGGAGAGUGGAAUUCCUGGUGUAGCGGUGAAAUGCGCAGAUAUCAGGAAGAACACCCGUGGCGAAGGCGGCUCUCUGGGACGGUACUGACGCUGAGACGCGAAAGCGUGGGGAGCAAACAGG
rnacentral:rRNA from 1 species